UCAGAGGAAUUUGUCUAUUAAUCGUCAUCACUCGUUUAUUUUCACUUUUUUUUAUUUUCUAUACCGCCGUCUUAAGAUAAACCUUAGAAAUUUUGUCUCAAGCUAUUUUGACAAGUCAGGUCAAGGUGGAGAUUAUAAGAAAGUUCAGAUUAAUUAUUUAUAAAUACUAUUUAAAGCCAGUUUUUCUAAAGAUUACUAAAAUAAAGAUUUGAAAGUAGUUUUUGAUUAAAAAUUAAAAACGAAUUUGUCACAGGUGUACAUAUCGCCCGUCACCCUCGUCUAAAGAUGAGGUAAGUCGUAACAUAGUUAGUGUACUGGAAAGUGCACUAAGGGGAAUAAAAAGCUUUAGCGUUUCAUUUACACAGAAAAGAACGGUAACUCAAUUUUCAGAGAUUUUCUUUACUUAAAUCACUAUCCAUUUCCUUUAAUUUUCCAAUUUUAAAAAAAAACCGUAAGGGGUUUUAGAUUGAUUCUAAGAAACUUUUUUGUCUACCUUUUGUAUCAGGGUGAAUCAAACUCCCUAUUGAAAAAUGCUAUCCCGAAAUAAAAUGAGCUACUUCAUUUAUUAUAUUUUAUUGCAAAAAAAUAGUAAAAAUUAAGUAGAAGUGAAAUUCCAUUCGUAUUUUCUUAUAUCUGGUUUUUUCAAAAAGUAUUAUUACUUAAACCUAAAAAGGGACAAUCUUUCUUAGAUAUUUAUUUUUAAUUUUAUUUACUUAUUUAGGAUUAGAAGUGUCUUAUUGUGUAAAAACUUUCCUUCUUGUAUUCUGAUGAAUUUUAUUAUGAAAUUAUACUCCUUUUAUAGAAACAAUGAUUCAAUCAGUAAAGAUCAACCCCAAUUAUUCCGUAAAGUAAUAUAAACACGAUUUUUUAAACUUAUUUUCAUUAACUUGGCUAAGUUUUCUGACUGUUUACCAAAAACAUUUCUGAAUGAUUUUUUUUUUAGUAAGACCUGCUCAAUGAUAUUUUUCAAUAGCCGCAAUUUACGUGCUAAGGUAGCAUAAUCAUUUGCCUUAUAAUUUGAGGCUAGUAUGAAAGGUUCAACAUGAUAACUUCUUUGUUAAUUUAACUUCUAGAAUUUUACCUAUAAGUAAAAAGGCUUAUAUUAAAAAGGGGGACGACAAGACCCUAACGAGCUUUACUUACUAGUUGAACUGGGGUGGUAAAAAACUAAAUCUUUUCAUUUCGUCUCUUUUCAUCCUUAUAAUAAGCCUUUCAAGUUACCGUAGGGAUAACAGCAUAAUUUUUUUCUAGAGACCUUAUCUAAAAAAAAGAUUGUGACCUCGAUGUUGAAUUAAUU
rnacentral:rRNA from 1 species